AGGACGAACGCUGGCGGCGUGCUUAACACAUGCAAGUCGAGCGGAAAGGCCCUUCGGGGUACUCGAGCGGCGAACGGGUGAGUAACACGUGAGCAACCUGCCCUUAGCUCUGGGAUAGCUCCGGGAAACCGGAAUUAAUACCGAAUAUGACUACGGUUGACAUCAGCCAUGGUGGAAAGUUUUUCGGCUAGGGAUGAGCUCGCGGCCUAUCAGCUAGUUGGUGGGGUAACGGCCUACCAAGGCGACGACGGGUA
rnacentral:rRNA from 1 species